GCAGAACGCGAAGAACCUUACCUGGUCUUGACAUGUCUGGAAUCCCGAAGAGAUUUGGGAGUGCCGCAAGGAACCAGAACACAGGUGCUGCAUGACUGUCGUCAGCUCGUGUCGUGAGAUGUUGGGUUAAGUCCCGCAACGAGCGCAACCCUUGUCCUUAGUUGCCAUCAUUCAGUUGGGCACUCUAGAGAGACCGCCGUGAACAACGCGGAGGAAGGUGGGGACGACGUCAAGUCAUCAUGGCCCUUACGUCUUGGGCUACACACGUGCUACAAUGGAUGUUACAGAGGGUCGCAAUGCCGCAAGGUGGAGCCAAUCCCUAAAAGCAUCCUCAGUUCAGAUCGGGGUCUGCAACUCGACCCCGUGAAGGUGGAAUCGCUAGUAAUCGCGGAUCAGCAUGCCGCGGUGAAUACGUUCCCGGGUCUUGUACACACCG
rnacentral:rRNA from 1 species